CAGCAGCCGCGGGAAUACAGAGGGUGCGAGCGUUAAUCGGAUUUACUGGGCGUAAAGCGUGCGUAGGCGGCUUCUUAAGUCGGAUGUGAAAUCCCUGAGCUUAACUUAGGAAUUGCAUUCGAUACUGGGAAGCUAGAGUAUGGGAGAGGAUGGUAGAAUUCCAGGUGUAGCGGUGAAAUGCGUAGAGAUCUGGAGGAAUACCGAUGGCGAAGGCAGCCAUCUGGCCUAAUACUGACGCUGAGGUACGAAAGCAUGGGGAGCAAACAGGAUUAGAUACCCCGGUAGUCCCUGUCUCUUAUAC
rnacentral:rRNA from 1 species